rnacentral:rRNA from 1 species
AAGAAAGUAAGAAAGGGCGUAUGGCGGAUGCCUAGGCUCACGGAGGCGAUGAAGGACGUGAUAAGCUGCGAUAAGCUUCGGGUAGGUGCAAAUAACCCUUGAUCCGAAGAUUUCCGAAUGGGACAACCUAGCCGUCUGAAGGACGGUUACUCUUACCAAUGUAAGAGAGCUAACGCAGGGAACUGAAACAUCUUAGUACCUGCAGGAAGAGAAAAUAAAUGAAUGAUUCCCCCAGUAGUGGCGAGCGAACGGGGAACAGCCCAAACCGUUGACGUCGCAAGGCGCCAGCGGGGUUGUAGGACCGCGACAUUGUAUGCAAAUCGUGAACAGAACACUUUGGAAAAUGUGACCAUAGACGGUGAUAGUCCAGUAUGUGAAGCGAAAUGCAGCAUAGCGGUAUCCUGAGUAACGCGGGA